rnacentral:lncRNA from 12 species
CUGAUCCACAGGAACCCACUGAUUUAUGGGAAUCCACUGGUCUGUGGGAUCCACUGCUCUGCAGGAAUCCAUGGAUCCGUGGGAUCCACAGGGAUCCCAGAGGAAUGGCUGCUGAGGGAGGAUCAGCAUGGCCGUGGCUCUGUGGACAAGGACAAAGCAGAUUGGGCCUCACUUCACUUUGGGACAUCACCAUGUCACCGUCACAAUGUCACCGUCACAAUGUCACCAUCACAAUGUCACCAUCCUUCCCUUCCCUUCCCUUCCCUUCCCUUCCCUGAAACUUCCCUUCCCUGAAACUUAACUUCCCUUCCCUUCCCUUCCCUUCCCUUCCCUGAAACUUCCCUUCCCUGAAACUUCCCUGAAACUUCCCUGAAACUUCCCUGAAACUUCCCUGAAACUUCCCUGAAACUUCCCUGAAACUUCCCUGAAACUUCCCUGAAACUUCCCUGAAACUUCCCUGAAACUUCCCUGAAACUUCCCUGAAACUUCCCUGAAACUUCCCUGAAACUUCCCUGAAACUUCCCUGAAACUUCCCUGAAACUUCCCUGAAACUUCCCUGAAACUUCCCUGAAACUUCCCUGAAACUUCCCUGAAACUUCCCUGAAACUUCCCUGAAACUUCCCUGAAACUUCCCUGAAAAAAUCCACUCAGUGGGGCAGUUUGGGGGCUUCUCCCCAUUUCCUGUGUGUCACCUCCUCCCUGCCUGUCACCCCCUGUUUGUCACCCCUUUCUUGUCACCCUCUUCUCAUCACCCCAUUUGUCAACCCCUGCUUGUCACCCUGUUUGUCACUGUCAUCCUGUUUGUCAUUGUCACCCCCUGCCUGUUGAUGCCUCCUGCCUGUCACCCCCUGCCUGUCACCCUGUUCUUGUCACCCUGUGGAUGUCACCCUCUGCUUGUCACACUGUUUGUCAUUGUCACCCCCUGCCUGUAACCCUCCGGCCUGUCAUCCCCUGCUUGUCACCCCCUGUUUGUCAUUGUCACAUUGUCACCCCGUUUAUUGUCACCUCCGUCCUGCCUGUCACCCCCGCUUGUCACCCCCUGCUUGUCACCCCCUUUGCCAUUGUCACAUUGUCACCCCGUUUGUUAUUGUCAUCCCCUCCUGACUGUCACCCUCUGCCUGUCACCCCCUACUUGUCACCCCCUGCUUGACACCCUCUGCUUGUCAACCCGUUUGUCACCCCAUCUGUCAUUGUCACAUUGUCACCCUGUAUGUCAUUGUCACCCGCUGCCUGUCCACCCCUCCUGCCUGUCACCUCCUGAUUGUCACCCUGUGCCUGUCACCCCCUGCCUCUCAUCCCCUGUUUGUCACUGUCACAUUGUCACCCUGUUUAUCCUUACCCCGUUUGUCACUGUCACAUUGUCACCCUGUUUGUCAUUGUCACCCCGUGUUUGUCACUGUCACAUUGUCACCCUGUUUGUCAUUGUCACCCCCUGUUUGCCACUGUCACAUUGUCGCCCUGUUUGUCAUUGUCACCCCCUUCCCCUCCUCUCUGGCUGUGAUUAAAUCGGGCCACCAGCUCCAACCGCCGCUGCCAGAUGUGGGGCCCUCAUUUGUCACAGCAGAGAGACAAACAGCCCCAAGUGACACGAGGUGACAGUUGUGUGCACGUGAAGCGUGGCCUGUCACCGCCCC